rnacentral:rRNA from 1 species
CCUACGGGGGGCUGCAGUGGGGAAUAUUGGACAAUGGGGGGAACCCUGAUCCAGCCAUGCCGCGUGUGUGAAGAAGGCCCUCGGGUUGUAAAGCACUUUCAGUGAGGAAGAACGCCUGGUGGUUAAUACCCAUCAGGAAAGACAUCACUCACAGAAGAAGCACCGGCUAACUCCGUGCCAGCAGCCGCGGUAAUACGGAGGGUGCGAGCGUUAAUCGGAAUUACUGGGCGUAAAGCGCGCGUAGGUGGCUUGAUAAGCCGGUUGUGAAAGCCCCGGGCUCAACCUGGGAACGGCAUCCGGAACUGUCAAGCUAGAGUGCAGGAGAGGAAGGUAGAAUUCCCGGUGUAGCGGUGAAAUGCGUAGAGAUCAGGAGGAAUACCAGUGGCGAAGGCGGCCUUCUGGACUGACACUGACACUGAGGUGCGAAAGCGUGGGUAGCAAACAGGAUUAGAUACCCGAGUAGUC